rnacentral:piRNA from 1 species
UGAGCAUAGAUGGAAACCACAGACUGGUC